UCUCCCCUGUUCCCCCCACCCCAAAUGUCACUGCUGUUGCUUUGAAUCCAGCUGAGCCAUUCUGUUCGUGGGAAGAAGCACUCCAGGAGAACCUCUUGUCUCCAACCCCCUGGAAAAGACUUAUUUCACUCUUAUCUGUCGUGCAUGUGGAUGCCAGGACCUAGAAGAGGGAUGGCUUGGACUCUGUGUUCCCUUUUUGCUCCAGGAGCCUGUGCAAGGCCAUCUCCAUCACCAUCAGGUGUCAAGGCAGCUUCUUAGCAGGGAUUAGAAACUGGCUGGAGAUGAGGAAAAGGGACUUUAAUAAUCUAUGAACAGGAGAAAACAGAAGAAAAAUUUAUUAGUUGAUGCAUCAAUCAGCUUCUGCAUCUUGGGCCAAGAAUUAUCUGAGUAACUUCUGAUUAGACUCCAAGGGUGAAAUACAGCCAGAAAAAUCCAAUUCUGUGCAUAAAGCACAAAGUUCUCUCUGGUCCAGCACUGAAGUGCUCUUUCCAGCAAAAACAGCAAAGUAAAACUACUUGAAGUGUUCAUCUUUCGCCCCUGUGGAAUUUUUUCCUCGGUGAUCCAUGGUUUGGCUCGUGGCUCCUCAUUAUCCACCACACUCUUCACCUGGCACAUGCGGCCCCGUCCUCAGGGAUCCUUGGUGGAAAUCUGUUUGACAAACAAAUGAGGUGAUUCUUCCUCCUGCCCCAAUAUCCUCAGCCAAAGAAAUUUCCUGCAGUUUCAAGAGUUUAUGGCCUGAUCUAAGGAAAACACAAUGUAAUUCUUAUGGAACUUCUUAACAACAGCUGCCAGCCUUUCCUCUACUCUCAGUUCAGCCUCUUUCCCACAUGAGUGUCUGUAGACACCUUCUGAUCAGCUGUAACCUCCCAGAAGCUUUAUUUGUUCUGAAAAUGAGUCAAUGGGAGGUCUGGAGUUCAGGAAGGAGGUACAGAAAGGCUGAUGGUGACUUUGCUUGGAGGCACCUCCUCUUAAUUUCAUCUCCUUUCCAUGGGAGCAGAGCAGGACAGGCUUUGCUGGCCAGAGGACAGCACCAGUUUUUGGGCAUCAGUGAAUGGCCUGGUGGAUCUGCCUGGAUGGUAAAGUGUUUGUCUUGCCCCUCACCAGGACAUCAGCUCUGUGUGAAAGCCUGGAGAAGAGAAGGCUUUUGGGUUUUCCAGUUCCUGAAGGGAAACCACAAGAAAAAUGGAGAGAAACCAUUUACAAGGGAUGGA